rnacentral:rRNA from 1 species
CAGGCCUAACACAUGCAAGUCGAGCGCGAAAGUUCCUUCGGGGGCGAUUAGAGCGGCGGACGGGUGAGUAACACGUAGGUAUCUACCUGGUAGUGGGGAAUAGCCCAGGGAAACCUGGAUUGAUACCGCAUAUGUUCUACGGAACAAAGGGAGCCUCUUCUUGAAAGCUCUCGCUACCAGAUGAACCUGCGCCGGAUUAGCUUGUUGGUGGGGUAAAAGCCCACCAAGGCGACGAUCCGUAGCUGGUCUUAGAGGAUGAUCAGCCACACUGGACUGAGACACGGCCCAGACUCCUACGGGAGGCAGCAGUAGGGAAUAUUGGACAAUGGGGGAAACCCUGAUCCAGCUAUACCGCGUGUGUGAAGAAGGCUCUAGGGUUGUAAAGCACUUUCAAUAGAGAUAAAAAGCCAAGCGUGAACAGCGUUUGGUGUUGAUAUUACCUAUACAAGAAGCACCGGCAAACUCCGUGCCAGCAGCCGCGGUAAUACGGAGGGUGCAAGCGUUAAUCGGAAUUACUGGGCGUAAAGCGCGCGUAGGUGGCUUGACAAGCCAGAUGUGAAAGCCCCGGGCUCAACCUGGGAACUGCACCUGGAACUGUUAGGCUAGAGUUUAGUAGAGGGUAUUGGAAUUUCCGAUGUAGCGGUGGAAUGCGUAGAUAUCGGAAAGAACACCAGUGGCGAAGGCGAAUGCCUGGGCUAAUACUGACACUGAUGUGCGAAAGCGUGGGGAGCAAACAGGAUUAGAUACCCU